rnacentral:rRNA from 1 species
AAAACAACUCUCAGCAACGGAUAUCUUGGCUCUUGCAACGAUGAAGAACGCAGCGAAAUGCGAUACGUAGUGUGAAUUGCAGAAUUCCGCGAAUCAUCGAGUCUUUGAACGCAAGUUGCGCCCGAGGCUUGUCCAAGGGCAUUUCCGCUAGAGCGUCACCGCGCCCCCCCACCAACCCCCCCUCCCAGCGAGAGUCGGGUCGAGUGAAAGUG